rnacentral:tRNA from 1 species
AGCAGAGUGGCUUAGUGAAAAGAGCCCGGGCUUGGGAGUCAGAGGUCGUGGGUUCUAAUCCUACCUCGGCCA